UUUAAAUUGUUUAUUUUAGCAUUAAUCUAUAUGUAAAUUUUUAUAUAAUUUAAAUUUCUUAAUGAUUUUUAAUUUAAUAAUUGCAGUAGAUAGUAUUAUUUAUAUUAAGUUAACUUAGAUUUAGUAAAUGUUAUAAAGGUUUGGUAAAAGUUGUGCCAGCAUCCGCGGUUAUACAACGAAAUCAAGUAAACAUUAUUAGCUUUAAAGUAAUUAAUAUUUAUUUUUAAAUAGGAUUUAAGGUGUUUUAAGGUGAAAUAUUUAUAAUAUCUUAAGAAGUAUAUUUUUAUGGUAUGAUUGUUAUGAAAUUGAAAAUGUAAACUAGGAUUAGAUACCCUAUUAUUUUUAUUGUAAAAUUUUAAGCUGGAGUAUUAAUAGCUAUGAUCUUUAAACUUAAAGAAUUUGGCGGUAUUAUAGUCUAUUUAGAGGAAUCUGUUAUGUAAUCGAUAGUCCACGUUGAACCUUACUUAAAUUGUUUCUUGUAUACCUCUGUUUAAGAAUAUACUUUUAGGUUAUUUUCUAGAUAUAUUAGUAUUUAGGAUUUCAAGUCAAGGUGCAGUAAUAUUUAAGUUGAGUAAUGGAUUACAAUAAAUUUUAUUUAUAUGGAUUAUUAUUGAAAUAAUAAUAUGAAGGUGGAUUUAAUUGUAAUUUUAUAAAGAUUGUUAAAAUGAUUAGUAGCUCUAUAAUAUGUACACAUCGCCCGUCACUCUCGUUAUUAAGAUGAGAUAAGUCGUAACAAAGUAGGUGUAUUGGAAAAUGUACCUAGAAAGUUAAAU
rnacentral:ncRNA from 1 species